rnacentral:rRNA from 1 species
UACAGAGGGGGCAAGCGUUGUUCGGAAUUACUGGGCGUAAAGGGCGCGUAGGCGGCCUUCUAAGUCGAACGUGAAAUCCCCGGGCUCAACCCGGGAACUGCGUCCGAUACUGGAAGGCUUGAAUCCGGGAGAGGGAAGUGGAAUUCCCGGUGUAGUGGUGAAAUGCGUAGAUAUCGGGAGGAACACCAGUGGCGAAGGCGACUUCCUGGCCUGUUCUUGACGCUGAGGUGCGAAAGCUAGGGGAGCAAACGGG